CUAGGAUUGACGUAAUGAUUAAGUAGGGAUAGUUGGGGGCGUUAGUAUUCAAUUGUCAGAGGUGAAAUUCUUGGAUUUAUUGAAGACUAACUACUGCGAAAGCAUUUGCCAAGGAUGUUUUCAUUAAUCAAGAACGAAAGUUAGGGGAUCGAAGACGAUCAGAUACCGUCGUAGUCUUAACCAUAAACUAUGCCGACUAGGGAUCGGAUGAUGUAAUUUUAAUGACUCA
rnacentral:rRNA from 1 species